GUGAACGCUGGCGGUAGGCCUAACACAUGCAAGUCGAACGGCAGCACAGUAAGAGCUUGCUCUUACGGGUGGCGAGUGGCGGACGGGUGAGGAAUACAUCGGAAUCUACUUUUUCGUGGGGGAUAACGUAGGGAAACUUACGCUAAUACCGCAUACGACCUACGGGUGAAAGCAGGGGAUCUUCGGACCUUGCGCGAUUGAAUGAGCCGAUGUCGGAUUAGCUAGUUGGCGGGGUAAAGGCCCACCAAGGCGACGAUCCGUAGCUGGUCUGAGAGGAUGAUCAGCCACACUGGAACUGAGACACGGUCCAGACUCCUACGGGAGGCAGCAGUGGGGAAUAUUGGACAAUGGGCGCAAGCCUGAUCCAGCCAUACCGCGUGGGUGAAGAAGGCCUUCGGGUUGUAAAGCCCUUUUGUUGGGAAAGAAAAGCAGCAAGUUAAUACCCCGCUGUUCUGACGGUACCCAAAGAAUAAGCACCGGCUAACUUCGUG
rnacentral:rRNA from 1 species